rnacentral:misc_RNA from 1 species
CGCCACCGAAGAAGAGAGAGAACGCCUCGGCAGGCCUGUCCGCAGCCGAGCUGGUAAUCAGUGUCGUUUCCGCGGCAGCAGUGGCCACCACGCGGCAGAUUACGCAGAUUACGCCUGCACACCCCCCGCGUACGGUUGUGACGAGCUUGUGACAGUGCGACUACCUGCUUUAGAACCGCUGGAGCAUUCCGCUUCCGGUUACUUACGAGGACAGCUCUGGCAGAACCGCCAAGUGGACGAGUGCUUCGAUUUUCGAGUGACUAGGACUAGGAUCAAACCUCGUUGUCGAAGAAACAGCUCCACUCGAUGUGAUAAUGCCAAUUCUAGACUUAGCACCCAGAGUCUACAACGUUCAGACCCGGUCGUUUAUGUCCCUUGGUCUUUGCCGAAGAACCUAGUUGACGCUGCAGAGAAACAGGCGUCAGAGAUAAACGUGACAGUGUGGAUAGUCUUAGACCUAACUCGAGAACUACAUUCUGACAAAGUAAUCUGUGUACCUUCGUCGAAUCUGACCAAAAUUGAUAGUUCCAAGGACGACUUUGAUCUUAGGUUACAGUGUUAAUUCCAGACCUAACCCAAAAGCAAUCAGAUUCCGGUUUGGAUUCGAUCAUUAUGCCCUCCAUCUCCGCUGAGGAACCCGGUCGACACUGCUAAAGAGUCCGAAGGAUGAAUUCGACGCGGUGUUAAUCAAUCUCAAUCUUCCACGAACCCCCAAAGGCGACAGAACGCUGCUACUUUGCGCUAACCCGAGAGAUUGCAGGGUAUUAGAGCAAGAUCUCGUCGGUUGAUGUUUUUGGUCGUCGAGGGUGAAACAGAAGAAACUCGAACUGUCGCAUCAGUGGGUCAAGAGAAACGUGGUCAGCCUAAGUAGUAUAAUGUUGGACGCCCGGAGGAGUCGGACCGUCAUGUUGAUCUCGUAAAGAAACUGCUUUGACUUUAAUGGGGGGAUCCGCUCGUGCCGGCUCGGUCGGUCCGCGGCGACGCGGCGGAUUCCAAGAAUAACGGGCUUUGGAAUCGCUCGGGAUGCCAACUCGUGAGAACAAUCUGGAUGACAUCGCUACGAAACUGAUCGCGAGCUGAUAAAACGACGAUCGAAAAUUCGCCGUUGCGAUGACGGUUCCGUGUUGGCUGUCGCGUUGAUGUUUAGCAAUUCGCGUCGACGCGAGCCAGCCUGUGGAUAAGGGACAGAAAUAGAGUAGGAUGAUCGUAUCGUAAAUCGUCGGUGGUCCACGGACAGUCGGGAGGAUCAAGUUGAGUGCGAAAAUACGAUGCGGGUCAAGUGAUCGUAGGUGACACCCUCGAGAUUGGCCGCUUCGAACGGGAUAAUAUCCAACGGGAUAGCGCGUAACGUUACACGGUGCCGUAGUUGAUCGAUCCAGCGAAGGAGAAGCAAAAGAGGAAGAAGAGGAAAAAAGUGGACCGGUAUGAGCAACAGCGAGGGCGUGGUGACAGGUCAGGGCACCGGGAGCGAUCGUCUAUGCGAGGACGUCGACAUGGCAACCUCAACGUCGGCGUCGUCGAACCUGAAGCCGCGAAGCGGUAAAAUCAGCUUCAGCGUGGACUCCCUGCUGAGCGACAUGAAGAAGACCGCCGUUACCGGCGGAGCGUUCGCCAGGCGCGAGAACGACGACCGAACGGAGGCGGAGAAAAACUUGGACAUGGAAGCCAGGUAUCGCGAGCUGUUGAUGGAACAGCAGAGACUACAAAGCAGAGAAUUGUUAGCGAGGUUGAGUCCGCAUGGUCUGGCGUUCGCCAAUCACCAUCAUCAUCAUCCUUCGAGUAGACUGGAUCAGGAUCACCCGUCGGCGGGCCGGCAAGAGAUCCUCACCGUGAAGGACUUCUCGAGAACGACCAGCCACGACAAGUCCUCCUCUCCAAUUAGGAUAGACCAAGAGGUUCAGAAGGAUCGAGACGAGCGACGAUUGUCCACCGGCUCGCCGGCUAACAGGAUCGCCGAAUCGAUGAUCCAGAGGGAACGCGGCCAAGAGGAUGACGAGAGGAUGGACAGGAUCGCUAAUCCGCGAUCCGUGUCGCCGGUCAGCAGACGAGAGAUCAUGGACGAUAGAAGCGACUCCGAGGCGAACCGUUCUCUGGAGGGCGACAGAGCCGACCAUCUGGAUCUCGAGGAUCAAGAGAUCAGAAGCGUGGGCCAGUCGGAGGAUCUGAACGUGAUGGACUCCGACUGCGAACUAGAGAGAGAUCUCGACAAUAACCAGGAGAAGGAGGAGAAGUCCAGUCCGGUAGUGCCUCAACCGAUUCAUCCUGGAGUUCAGAGGCCGUCACAAGGACCGCCUUACCUGACCGGGGCACCUGGUGCACCCGGAUGGAAUCCCGCGGGAUUUCCGCAUUCCCUCGCGGGAUUCGCGUGGCUACCCCCACCUCCGCACCCCCACAAUCCUCAUGGACAUCUGUACACGCCGCAUGGUGGACCUACUAGUCCGAACGGCGACUUGAGGCUGCCGGGUCCAGGUCCCGGGCCAGUCAGGUGCACCCUGAGGAAGCACAAGCCAAAUCGUAAACCGAGGACACCGUUCACCACGCAACAGCUGCUCUCGUUGGAGAAAAAGUUUCGCGAAAAGCAGUACCUAACGAUCGCCGAACGAGCAGAAUUCUCGUCGUCCCUUCACCUCACGGAAACGCAGUUGGCGACGUUUUAACCCAUGUGCCGGUCUUUGCCGGGAUAUCAUCUGGAAGGUGAGACGCAGCAGAGAAGCGCACCCGGUACGGUGGACUAAUUGGCCGAUAAAUCAACCUCCGGCUUACCUUCUCUCCACCGUGGCUUCGCUGGACCUUUUAGACUCAUAGGUGGACUUUCCGGACGUAAGAUGAUUGAGCGGAGACAGAAGCGUUCGUGUCGAAAGAGGUUAAUAAUCCUGGGCGACCACCGGCAUCCCCGAAGAGAAGAUUAUCGCAUCGAGACGAUCGGUGUUCGAUGCUCCCGUAAUUUGUGUUUUCGUUAUUGCGUCCGAUUCCUGUUGGCCGCAGGCACGGGAGAACAACGACGGUAUCUGGUGUCGCGGGAGCAGCCGAGAAUGCGAGAAACCUCCACCGCGUGUGUGGAACAGGUUCUUCGUUUUCCGGGGGCAGAUCGGUGUUCGCUUGUUACCGCGAACAGAAGGACGAAGACGGCGAAACGAAGACGGAGGUACGCCGUGUGUGAGCACACCGCACCGCACCACCACGUACGCGCACUAAUCGCAUCGAGCGAACUUGUUGGAAUUAAUUGGUCCGGCCAAUUAACGCUCACGGCCUGAAACGCGUCGAGGGCAAUGAAGGCGCACGAUUGGCCUCGUCCCCGCCACCCUUCGACGCUCGAUAUCCUUCGCGGCGACCGAGCUUCCUGCGAAACCCCUAAUUAAUUUCGGACCCUGUUCCCAGAAAAUUCGACACUCCGCCACAGAAAUCUUGUUGAUCGAUGUAAAUCUUAUUGAUUAAAUUAACUCCUUUUGCUUAUCGUCGACAUCGUUGGGGGUUGCUUCAGCAUUUGUCUUGGGCUGAUGGGAAGGUCUCGGACAUUCAAGGAGUUGUUUGUGUAUUAUUUUGUAUAUCGCAAAUUUGAACUUCAAAAUAGGGAAGGCUUGAACAGAGUACGAAAAUGUUAUACAUUGAGCUAGUGAUUUACAUCAAGUUCAGUAGUUAACCCCUUGCACUAUGACUUAUUUGUCAGGUCAGUCAGAAAUGCCCAAUUAAACUGUAAUAUUAAAAUAGACAAAA